GUUAUAUAUAUAUCCCAAAUAAAUAUGGAUGGACAUUAAAACUUUGCUAAAACAACAAAGCUGGUGAUGGUGUCCCAAGACUUUUGCAGAGUAAUGUAUAUUGACCAAGAGUUGUAAUGAUAAAAAAAAUGCAUGUCGUCUAUUAUUUUCUUUAAAUGCACAUUUAUUCACAGUUCAGUAGGACAGUAAAUUAUCUGAAAGUGAAAUCAUUAUUGAAGGUGAUAUCAUUGUCACUGCAUUCAUUGUUACAUGAUUUUAAACAGUGGGAAUCAUUGUGUAAGUUUCUUAAUAAUAUCAAAUACUUUUUAGCUGAGAAGCCAGGUGAAACUAUAAGGGCACUAUGAUUUACUUUCAUAUUAUCAUUCUUUUAUAGAUGAGGAGCAACCAGUAAGAAAAAGCAAAAAGAUGUUUUGAUGUUGCCUGAGGCACCUUAUUCACAUCAGUCAAUUUCUUCCAAUAAUGAAUCAAGAAAUCCUGGAGUGGAGAAUCAUUCUGAAAGUAGACCAAAUACAGGACAACACCACAGCAGUGGUUGGAAAAAUGCAGCAGACAAUGAGCAAGCCAAGCUGACUUUCAAAAGAUGAUUCGUUAUCUGUUUCUUCAAAGGGGAGGCAGUUUGGGAGAUGGGAAAUAGGAGGAUGCUACAGUUACACAGGGCGAAUUUCAGCAGCUCAGUUUCACACUUGCAACUAACAAUGAAUUAUAGUGAGUCUGUGUGAAUCCCAAACAUCUCAAAAUUAUUUUUGUAUAUAAAUUGUAUGUAAAUUGUAAUGUUGUAAAUAAGAAUGCACAUUGUAAAUGUUAAUAGCACAUAAACAUUAAUAGCAAUGAAUAGUCUGUUUUUAAAACAAAAAUAAUGUUUGAUGCUUUGGAUACAUAUAGUAUCAUAUACUCUACAUAGUAUAAUUCAAGAUGCCUUUAACACAAAAACCUACAAUAAUAUCAAAGAUCAAUGUAUAAGACAACUUACAUUAUUUUAUGUCAUAGUAAACU